UGCUUUGUGAGUGCAGUGAAGUGUGUGAACUGGGCAAUUCACAGACCUGUACCCCUGGGGAUAAAAAUAUAUUAUAUGUUUCUAAAAAAUAAAAAAUUUAAAAAAAAAACAAAACUGAAAAAAAAAUAUUUAAGCAAAAAAAAAAAAAAAGAAUAAUGUUUAAACGCAUUAAAAUGAGCCAAUGGAAUAGACUAGUACGGUGUCUUUCGGAAGGGGCAUAAAUAGGUCAGAUUACAUCUCACGUUUGAAUUUCUUUUAUUUAUCAAUUAAAAAGAUAAGAUUUGGGGGGAAAUAUUUCUUUCUCUUUGAAAAGCCGAUUGAUACUCCUCUGAACUGGCCUAAUGAAACUCAGUCCUGUCUGGACCCCUUCCUCGUUCCCUCUUCUAGCCUUCCCAGUCUGUCCUGGGAUCGUGCGUCGGCCCCCUUCCGCCUUGUUUUCUAAUUCCUCAUGCUGUGCAGCAGUUUUUCUGUUUUUGUUUUUUUCUUCUGACAACAUCAAGUAGUCUCUCUCAGGGGCCAAUGCAAGAAGUUCUGUGCAUCGUUCAGUAGAACAAUAAGCAGGGAGUGACCCUGGGUUCUUGGAGGAGUCAUCAUUUUCUGUAACACUCUAGAGUAAAUGACUAUUAAAAAUAGAUAAACAGAGUGCCUGGUGGCUCAGUGGGUUAAGCCUCUGC